GACGAGGGGUCCAAGCGUUGUUCGGAAUCAUUGGGCGUAAAGCGGGUGUAGGUUGCCUUGCAAGUCAGGAGUGAAAUCCCCGAGCUUAACUUGGGAAGUGCUUUUGAAACUGCAGGGCUUGAAUGUGGGAGAGGAUCGUGGAAUUCCAGGUGUAGUGGUGAAAUACGUAGAUAUCUGGAGGAACACCGGUGGCGAAGGCGGCGAUCUGGCCCAACAUUGACACUGAGACCCGAAAGCGUGGGGAUCAAACAGG
rnacentral:rRNA from 1 species